CCCCCGGUGGCGCAGCGGGAUCGGCCCCGCCCCUCACGGGAGGGACCCGGGUUCGAAUCCCGGCCUCGACU